UAAGCAAAUAUGCGUGGCACGGCU
rnacentral:miRNA from 1 species